UCCUGCACUGCCUUAUCUAAGGAAUAAACAACAUCCUCAAUUGCUAAAUCAGUUGAUGUACAGUCCAACAUCUGCUUUGAUAGAGAAUCAAUGCACUCAAGCACACUGUCCACAUCCAAAUUCCCUUUAUUCACUUUCAUUUUCCCAUCGUUUUCUCUGACCCACGCCUCUAGGACAUCUGUAUUCAUCAAUACAACUUGUAAUUGCGCCUCCAACCCCUCCUUCUCCUCUUGCAUCUCCUUAAGCCCCUUAUUAAUCUCCUCCUCCCUCGUCCUCAAUGCAGCCUGCGCACUGAAUAAACCCUCCAUCUCCACCUCCCUUGCUUUCCUCAGUUGCAUGAUGUCCCCAUGAACAGUCUCCACAAUCUUAUUGAUCGCAUUCCUCUUAUAAACCUCCGCAGCAUCCUCCGUUUGUGGCCGCCCUGGCGCACCACCACUACUACCGACGUACGGCGAUGGUGGGUAGGGCCUAUUCAUCGUACGCGGAUAUCCAACGUGCCCUCCAGUAGGACCUACGGAUCCGAAACUCGAAGAGUGCGAUAAAUUUGAUGGAUUCGCAGCAUAAUUGGGGCUGGAAUGGCUAGGACUAGGAUUAGGGUUUGCACAGGGUUGAGAAUAGAGAGGAGGAUCACGGCCAAAAAUGGGGCUUAAUUCACGAACUAGAUCGACGAGAUUAGAGCUAGG
rnacentral:misc_RNA from 1 species